AUUGAACGCUGGCGGCAUGCUUUACACAUGCAAGUCGAACGGUAACAGCACUUCGGUGGCUGACGAGUGGCGCACGGGUGAGUAAUACAUCGGAACGUGCCUAGUAGUUGGGGAUAACUACUCGAAAGAGUAGCUAAUACCGCAUGAGAUCUAAGGAUGAAAUCAGUGGACCUUCGGGCCUUGCGCUACUAGUGCGGCUUAUGGCAGAUUAGGUAGUUGGUGGGAUAAAAGCUUACCAAGCCGACGAUCUGUAGCUGGUCUGAGAGGACGACCAGCCACACUGGGACUGAGACACGGACCAGAGUACUACGGGAGGCAGCAGUGGGGAAUUUUGGACAAUGGGCGAAAGCCUGAUCCAGCAAUGCCGAGUGAAGGAUGAAGGCCUUCGGGUUGUAAACUGCUUUUGUACGGAACGAAAAGCCGUCUGCUAAGACAGGAGGGUCAUGACGGUACCGAAAGAAUAAGCACCGGCUAACUACGUG
rnacentral:rRNA from 1 species